UAGCAUUGUCAUCGCUCUGGGUUCCACCCACACUCAGGGAUAGAAAAAUAAUACAUGCCAAAAGAAAUUUGAGGAACAAAUUCAGCCCUGAGACAGGUCACGGAAACAGCCCUCCAGUCUUCCUCAAGAAAUGUAGACUGAAUCAGCAUUUACCCACCCCUGGAAAAACGCAGGAGCUGCGCAUUCCUGGGAUCUCAGCAGGGCUUUUGGGAAGAGCAGAACUGGGCUGGAGUCACGGUUUCUGGGCUGACUCUAGAUUUUCCCCGGCUUUUGCCACCUGUGAUGGCUGGAGAGUAUCUGAAGAUGACAGCCAGUGUCCUUAGCUUGUGAAGAUUGGAUGAUGGCCGGGGCCCUCAGACCCCUUGGCCCCUCCUUAACUGCAGGUCUUCAAAAGCCCAACACCUGUUCGUCAUUUCUGUGGCUUCCCAGGGAGUCUUACUCUUCUGCUUCAAGCUGCUGGGUUUGACUCUGAGCAGUUUCUGUGCAGCCACAAAGAUUCUUAUGUGAGACACACUGCUGCUUCAGAGUGCUCCAACCCAUCUCCCCUGAUUAAACACUAACCAGGGCUGCCACAGCAAAGUGGCUCAAAUGGGUGACGUCAACAACAGAUUUACUUUCUCAUAGUUCUGGAGGCAGGUGUCUAGGAUCAAGGUGGUGGCAAGGCUAUUCCUUCUGUUGCCUCCCUCCUUGCCUUGUGGAUGACCGUCUUCUCCGCGUCUUUCCAAGAUCUCUCCUCUGUGCAUGUCAGUGUCCUUGCUUCCUCUUCUUAUGAAGACACCGGUCAUGUUGGAAUGCAACAGAAGAGAGUGCACGGCUUCUGAGGUUGCAGCUUUUGGGAGAAGCCAUCUACCAUUGAUGACAGACAUGCCGUGUGGAAACCAAACCAGCCAUGUGGAGAGGCUACCUGGACAGAGGCACAGGGCCAGCAGCAGCUGUGGAGACAGACAUGUGAGCAAAGAAAUCAUCUUUGAUGUACAGCCAAGUUGAGCCUUCAGAUGACUCCGAUUUCAGCCACCUUUGGACUGCAACCACAUGAAAGACUCUAAAUAGAAGCCUCCCAGCUGAUCCCGGUUAACCCACAGUGCUGAAGGGGAUAAUAAUAAAUUGUUGUUUUAAGCCA
rnacentral:lncRNA from 1 species